rnacentral:lncRNA from 1 species
CUGGCAGUGCUGCUGCCAAAAUGUCUUCUUCCUUCUUCAAAAGGGUCUGGAAGUGCUUUGUCGUAGCCAAUUUUGCCCUUGCAGUUGUGAUCCAUCAAGCCAUUACAAGGAACCCAACACCAGAGAUGAUUCUUGGCUUACCCUUUUAUGCUCAGAAUUGCUUCAUCAUCUCCUUCUGCCUUUCCUGCCGUGCUAUUAAGCACAAGCCUUUCCGCCUCAUCUCCAUUGUGAGUUUCAUUAUCGGUUGGGGUUUCCUUGGGUGGUUCUUCACUCACACCACCAACAUUCCAAUGAGAAAGGUAUUAGCAGUCUAAUGUCUCAUACAGCUAGAAUGAGUUACAAUUAGUAGUAUUAGUCAACAUUUUCCUAAUUAGUUUACACAGUUAGAUAGAAGCAGUUACUUAUUUUACUGAUAUAUAUAGUUGCAGUGUACAAUUGAUUGAUUCAGAAUAAUAAAUUACAUUCUCUAAUACUCUUUGUUCAAUGUUUGUUAUCAGGGACACAAGCCUUUCACCUUGGCCGAUCUGGAAGUGGUUGUAUACAUCGCCAUUGCC